rnacentral:lncRNA from 12 species
AGCCCUACACGGCCCGCAGCCUGCAGGUGGGGUACUGGGAGUACUGGGAAUUAUACUGGGGAUACUGGGAGUACUGGGAAUGGUACUGGGAAUGGUAAUGGGAUUGAUACUGGGGAUACUGGGAAUGGUAAUAGGGAUUGGUACUGGGACCUGCGGCGGGUGAUGGAGCCCUACACGGCCAGGAGCCUGCAGGUGCGCCGCAGCAACUCCCUGCGGGACCUGGUGGCCGUGGCCGGGCCCUUGGGCGUCUCCCAGUUCCUGGUGCUCAGCAAAUCCCAGUUUGGCAUCAACCUGGUGAGUUGGGGAAAUUUGGGAAUUUUUUUGGGAAUUUUUUUUUUUUGUUUGUUUUUGGGGGAAUUCCAGAGGCUCCCAAACCCUUCCCCAGACCCAGAGGAUGAAAGAAUUUUCCAGGAGGUUGAUCUGUGAUUGAUCUCAAAGUAAACGCUCUGAUGGGUCGGGAAUUAUUUGGGGGUUUGGGAUUUUUGGGAUCUGGAAUUUGGGAUUUUUGGGAUUUGGGAUUCCG